UGUCAUCAUUGCACUGAGCAACCCAGGGGCUGGAAGUCUGAUAGAUUUUCUAAAAGCCAACAUGAGGAAGACAGAGAUUACUACUGCCCCACUGCCCAGAGCACAGACUGUGCCUCAGAAUCACAGAGUGGCUCAGGCUGGAAGGGACCACAGUGGGGACAUCUGAUCCAACCCUCCUGCUCCAGCAGGGCCAUCCAGAGCACCUGGCAUGGGAUUGUGUCCAGGUGCUAGGGAUGAGUUUGCUCGACCCUUCCAGGUGCCAGCAGCGUGUGGAGCACUGAUGUCUCAUCAGCCUUGCAGCAGGAUGGCAACAAAGAUGCAAGCUCUUUUCAAUGAAUAACCUCAGCAUACUGUGGAAUAGAGGUUUCUAAGAAUUAUAGAGUGCUUUGGGUUGGAAGGGAUUUUAAAAACCAUCUUUUUCUGACCCCACUGCCAUGGGCAGGGACACCUUCCACUAUCCCAGGUUGCUCUAAGCCCUGUCCAACUUUGCCUUGGACAUUUCCAGGAACACUUCCACAUCUUCUUUAGAAACCUGGUUCAAAUCCAACCCAUGGCUUGGAGGCUGUACUGAGCUCAUUUUGGAAAGUGAUUUUAGUCUUGGUAGUGUGAGUUGGGUGGUUGCAGUUCCCUUGCUUGAUGGAAAGUCAUUUCUGGCAGAGAAGAGCAAAAAACUUGGAGUUUUGGAUCCCAAACAUCUUUUUAGUGGUAGAUUCAGCCUCAAGAGCUGAUGUUUGAAGGCAGAACUGAGAUUCUGAUGCACAGGACAUCAGGCCUGGCUGCUGUGAGAGGAGCCAAGCAGUUGGAUGGCAUGGCAUGAAGAUACUCCAAUAUUUUCCAGCUAAGAAGAUCCUGAGAACAGUGCCAUUUGGGAUGGGCAGGGGAACCACAAAUACUAUAACUAGACUUCCUUCCUUUCCUCCUUCUUCCUUUUUUUUCAAAUAUGAAAUACAAAAUAAUUGUUUCAGCAGCUUCUGAAAACA